CCUUUUGUAUAAUGGGUCAGCGACUUAUGUUCAGUGGCGAGGUUAACCGUUUAGGGGAGCCGUAGGGAAACCGAGUCUGAAUAGGGCGAUUUAGUCGCUGGGCAUAGACCCGAAACCGGGCGAUCUAUCCAUGAGCAGGUUGAAGGUGCCGUAACAGGCACUGGAGGACCGAACCCACUGUCGUUGAAAAGCCAGGGGAUGACUUGUGGAUCGGAGUGAAAGGCUAAUCAAGCCCGGAGAUAGCUGGUUCUCCCCGAAAGCUAUUUAGGUAGCGCCUCGGACGAAUACCACAGGGGGUAGAGCACUGUUUCGGCUAGGGGGUCAUCCCGACUUACCAACCCGAUGCAAACUCCGAAUACCUGUGAGUACUAUCCGGGAGACACACGGCGGGUGCUAACGUCC
rnacentral:rRNA from 1 species